rnacentral:rRNA from 1 species
AGCGAACGCUGGCGGCAGGCCUAAACAUGCAAGUCGAACGCCUGUAGCAAUACAGGAGUGGCAGACGGGUGAGUAACACGUGGGAACGUACCCUUUGGUUCGGAACAACACAGGGAACUUGUGCUAAUACCGGAUAAGCCCUUACGGGGAAAGAUUUAUCGCCAGAGGAUCGGCCCGCGUCUGAUUAGCUUGUUGGUGAGGUAACGGCUCACCAAGGCUACGAUCAGUAGCU